rnacentral:tRNA from 1 species
GGAGAUAUAGCAUAGUGGCAGAGCACUUGCCUACCGUGUAUGAGCUUGGGUUUGAAACCCAACAUCCCCC